rnacentral:rRNA from 1 species
CGCGGCCUAUCAGCUUGUUGGUGAGGUAACGGCUCACCAAGGCGACGACGGGUAGCUGGUCUGAGAGGACGAUCAGCCACACUGGGACUGAGACACGGCCCAGACUCCUGCGGGAGGCAGCAGUGGGGAAUCUUGCGCAAUGGGCGAAAGCCUGACGCAGCAACGCCGCGUGGGGGAUGAAGGCUCUCGGGUUGUAAACCUCUUUCAGGAGGGACGAAAAUGACGGUACCUCCAGAAGAAGCCCCGGCCAACUACGUGCCAGCAGCCGCGGUAACACGUAGGGGGCAAGCGUUGUCCGGAAUCAUUGGGCGUAAAGGGCUCGUAGGCGGCUUGGUAAGUCGGUCGUGAAAACCCAGGGCUCAACCCUGGGACGCCGGUCGAUACUGCCAUGGCUAGGGUCCGGUAGAGGAGAGUGGAAUUCCCGGUGUAGCGGUGAAAUGCGCAGAUAUCGGGAGGAACACCAGUAGCGAAGGCGGCUCUCUGGGCCGGUACCGACGCUGAGGAGCGAAAGCGUGGGGAGCAAACAGGAUUAGAUACCCUGGUAGUCCACGCCGUAAACGUUGGGUACUAGGUGUGGCGGACUGAUCAACGUCUGCCGUGCCGAAGCUAACGCAUUAAGUACCCCGCCUGGGGAGUACGG